GGUAAUAAGCAUUGCUGCCAAAUUUGAACAUCGGCAACUGGCGCUUGAAUACAAAGUGUACAACGGUAGGAAGUGAAUAUCAACCUUCUGAAUAAAAAUGUUAAGCUGCAGUGGGAGCUGUUAAUGCAUUUCCUGCUUCCCAAGAUUCCUCCUGCCAAUGUUUUAUGAUGGCUGAUCUUGAAUAUGACCAUGAGAGUGGGGACACAGACAAUGUGGAUGGUGAGCAACUGCUCAGCAGCGGCCUGCUUGACAUUCGUCUGGAACGUCUCAUCAAUCAGGUUUUGAAGACACCACUUCAGCAGGAUCUCCUGAUGGCGGCCAAAGCCAAGGUCCCAAGAUCGGUAUCUACAAAGGACAUGAUGAGGAUUGUUAAGAACAAAGUGUAUGAAAUGGAUAUGCCUUCAAAAAUAGAGCUGCUGAAGGAUGCCAUCUGCUUAAAGUUACGGGCCGGCCGCGAGUCGAGCAAUUGGCACACGUUCGGGCUGUCCGGCGUCGAUCCUGUGACGUCACCGCGCGGGCGCCGCAAGAUCGGCCUGCGCAUCGAGCACGGCCUGGAC